UCAGAGAGGGGAAAGAGAGCUGAGUGUGACCUGGAGCAGCUCAGGAGGGCUUCCUCGGUGAGGUGGCAGGUUACAGGUUAGAUCUUUGGCACUCAGAUUC
ensembl:miRNA